rnacentral:tRNA from 1 species
GCCUAGUUAGCUUAGUUGGUAGUGCGUCUGCCUUGUAAGCGCUAGGCCGCGGGUUCGAUUCCUGCACGGGGCG